AGUGAACGCUGGCGGUAGGCCUAACACAUGCAAGUCGAACGGCAGCACAGUAAGAGCUUGCUCUUACGGGUGGCGAGUGGCGGACGGGUGAGGAAUACAUCGGAAUCUACUUUUUCGUGGGGGAUAACGUAGGGAAACUUACGCUAAUACCGCAUACGACCUACGGGUGAAAGCAGGGGAUCUUCGGACCUUGCGCGAUUGAAUGAGCCGAUGUCGGAUUAGCUAGUUGGCGGGGUAAAGGCCCACCAAGGCGACGAUCCGUAGCUGGUCUGAGAGGAUGAUCAGCCACCCUGGAACUGAGACCCCGUCCAGACUCCUACGGGAGGCAGCAGUGGGGAAUAUUGGACAAUGGGCGCAAGCCUGAUCCAGCCAUACCGCGUGGGUGAAGAAGGCCUUCGGGUUGUAAAGCCCUUUUGUUGGGAAAGAAAAGCAGCAGGUUAAUACCCCGCUGUUCUGACGGUACCCAAAGAAUAAGCACCGGCUAACUUCGUG
rnacentral:rRNA from 1 species